AGAAUCUCUUUUCCACCAUGUGAUAAAAACCUUCUAUUCCAUCCUUGGGUUGCCUCUAUAACUUUGUCAAUGAUAAACUGAAACAUUUCUCCUUUCUUGUGAUUAAACUGCUCUGGAAGGCCAAGAUAUUUGCCGUUACCACCUUCAUUUAAGAUUCCCAACAGCGUCCUCAUCCUUGUUUUAACUGAUGCCGAAAAUUUGCUUCCAAAUGUGAUCGAUGACUUGUUCAGGUUCACAGCUUGUCCAGAUACUUUCUCAUAGAGAUUUAGGAUCUGUUUCAGUUUCCUUCCCGCCUUUGGGUUAGCAAGGGAGAAAAAUAAUGAAUCAUCGGCAAAUAAUAAGUGGUUUACAGCAGGAGAUCGUAAUGCCACUUCAAUUCCCAGCAAUGAAGUAUUUUGUAUUUCUAUCUCCUGCCCGCAACCACAUAACCCUGUUUUUUUGUUUCCAAAAGAUCUCCUCUUCCAUGUAAGCUUGGUCCAAAUCCUCUCUGAUCAGAUUGAUGUCUGCAGUAGUAUAAGCUGGAGAGCAUAGUGCCGAGUCUAAUCUAUGCCGAAGAACUUUGAUCUUCUCCUCAGCAUUGUUCCUGUUGUUGCGUUUCCAUGUUGCAAUAUGUUUCCUACAUCUGCUGAGUCUUUGUAUUAAAGGAAUCUGUAGCAAGCUUGAUUGUCAUGUACCUUUCCAACCUCUCCUUACUGAAUCUCUGAAACCCUCUUUGUCAACCAUACGACUAUCAUAACAAAAUAAUCUUCUCGGCUUUUCUUUUUCAGCAGAUAUGUAGGAAACUAGUGGUCGAUGAUCAGAUUCACCAAGUUCUAGGAACACCGUUUCUGAUGCUGGAUAUUCUGAGAACCACUUAGUAUUGCUCAUUACUCUAUCAAGACAACACUUAACUAAGCCGUUCUGUCGUCUUCCUACCCAUGAGCAUCUAUUACCAACUGACGGUAAGUCUGUAAGAUCACAAUGUCGUACCAUUGUUCUAAAUGUACUGAACAAAGCUUC
rnacentral:lncRNA from 1 species